AGCGUAGGUGGUUAUAUAAGUCUUCUGUAAAAGGCAUUGGCUUAACCAAUGUAGGCAGGAGAAACUAUAUAACUUGAGUACAGUAGAGGUAAGUGGAAUUCCUAGUGUAGCGGUGAAAUGCGUAGAUAUUAGGAGGAACACCAGUGGCGAAGGCGACUUACUGGGCUGUAACUGACACUGAGGCUCGAAAGCGUGGGGAGCAAACAGGAUUAGAUACCCUGGUAGUCC
rnacentral:rRNA from 1 species